rnacentral:rRNA from 1 species
ACAUGGAGUCUACGGUCUGAAUGCACCCAAUCUCAUAUGAUCUCAGAAGCCAAGCAGCGUUGGGCCUGGUUAGUACUUGAAUGGGAGAGCGCCUGGGAAUAUCGGGUGCUCUAGGCU